rnacentral:rRNA from 1 species
GGGUUGUGAGGUUAAGCGACUAAGCGUACACGGUGGAUGCCCUGGCAGUCAGAGGCGAUGAAGGGCGUGCUAAUCUGCGAUAAGCGCCGGUAAGGUGAUAUGAACCGUUAUAACCGGCGAUACCCGAAUGGGGAAACCCAGUGUGACUCGUCACACUAUCAUUAACUGAAUCCAUAGGUUAAUGAGGCGAACCGGGGGAACUGAAACAUCUAAGUACCCCGAGGAAAAGAAAUCAACCGAGAUUCCCCCAGUAGCGGCGAGCGAACGGGGAGGAGCCCAGAGCCUGAAUCAGCAUGUGUGUUAGUGGAAGCGUCUGGAAAGGCGCGCGAUACAGGGUGACAGCCCCGUACACAAAAGCGCAUGUGCUGUGAGCUCGAUGAGUAGGGCGGGACACGUGGUAUCCUGUCUGAAUAUGGGGGGACCAUCCUCCAAGGCUAAAUACUCCUGACUGACCGAUAGUGAACCAGUACCGUGAGGGAAAGGCGAAAAGAACCCCGGCGAGGGGAGUGAAAAAGAACCUGAAACCGUGUACGUACAAGCAGUGGGAGCACCCUUUGGGUGUGACUGCGUACCUUUUGUAUAAUGGGUCAGCGACUUAUAUUCUGUAGCAAGGUUAACCGAAUAGGGGAGCCGGAGGGAAACCGAGUCUUAACCGGGCGUUAAGUUGCAGGGUAUAGACCCGAAACCCGGUGAUCUAGCCAUGGGCAGGUUGAAGGUUGGGUAACACUAACUGGAGGACCGAACCGACUAAUGUUGAAAAAUUAGCGGAUGACCUGUGGCUGGGGGUGAAAGGCCAAUCAAACCGGGAGAUAGCUGGUUCUCCCCGAAAGCUAUUUAGGUAGCGCCUCGUGAAUUCAUCUCCGGGGGUAGAGCACUGUUUCGGCUAGGGGGCCAUCCCGGCUUACCAACCCGAUGCAAACUGCGAAUACCGGAGAAUGUUAUCACGGGAGACACACGGCGGGUGCUAACGUCCGUCGUGAAGAGGGAAACAACCCAGACCGCCAGCUAAGGUCCCAAAGUCAUGGUUAAGUGGGAAACGAUGUGGGAAGGCCCAGACAGCCAGGAUGUUGGCUUAGAAGCAGCCAUCAUUUAAAGAAAGCGUAAUAGCUCACUGGUCGAGUCGGCCUGCGCGGAAGAUGUAACGGGGCUAAACCAUGCACCGAAGCUGCGGCAGCGACACUGUGUGUUGUUGGGUAGGGGAGCGUUCUGUAAGCCUGUGAAGGUGUG